rnacentral:rRNA from 1 species
CUGCAGUCGAACGAUGAACUGGAGCUUGCUCCAGGGAUUAGUGGCGAACGGGUGAGUAACACGUGAGUAACCUGCCCUUGACUCUGGGAUAAGCGCUAGAAAUGGCGUCUAAUACCGGAUACGAGCUUCAGCCGCAUGGCUAGGAGUUGGAAAGAAUUUUGGUCAAGGAUGGACUCGCGGCCUAUCAGCUAGUUGGUGAGGUAAUGGCUCACCAAGGCGACGACGGGUAGCCGGCCUGAGAGGGUGACCGGCCACACUGGGACUGAGACACGGCCCAGACUCCUACGGGAGGCAGCAGUGGGGAAUAUUGCACAAUGGGCGAAAGCCUGAUGCAGCAACGCCGCGUGAGGGAUGACGGCCUUCGGGUUGUAAACCUCUUUUAGUAGGGAAGAAGCGAAAGUGACGGUACCUGCAGAAAAAGCACCGGCUAACUACGUGCCAGCAGCCGCGGUAAUACGUAGGGUGCAAGCGUUGUCCGGAAUUAUUGGGCGUAAAGAGCUCGUAGGCGGUUUGUCGCGUCUGCUGUGAAAUCUGGGGGCUCAACCCCCAGCCUGCAGUGGGUACGGGCAGACUAGAGUGCGGAGGGGGAGAUUGGAAUUCCUGGGUGUAGCGGUGGAAUGCGCAGAUAUCAGGAGGAACACCGAUGGCGAAGGCAGAUCUCUGGGCCGUAACUGACGCUGAGGAGCGAAAGCAUGGGGAGCGAACAGGAUUAGAUACCCUGGUAGUCCAUGCCGUAAACGUUGGGAACWAGAUGKGGGGGCCAUUCCACGGUCUCCGUGUCGCAGCUAACGCAUUAAGUUCCCCGCCUGGGGAGUACGGCCGCAAGGCUAAAACUCAAAGGAAUUGACGGGGGCCCGCACAAGCGGCGGAGCAUGCGGAUUAAUUCGAUGCAACGCGAAGAACCUUACCAAGGCUUGACAUAUACCGGAAACGUCCAGAGAUGGUCGCCCCGCAAGGUCGGUAUACAGGUGGUGCAUGGUUGUCGUCAGCUCGUGUCGUGAGAUGUUGGGUUAAGUCCCGCAACGAGCGCAACCCUCGUUCUAUGUUGCCAGCACGUUAUGGUGGGAACUCAUAGGAGACUGCCGGGGUCAACUCGGAGGAAGGUGGGGAUGACGUCAAAUCAUCAUGCCCCUUAUGUCUUGGGCUUCACGCAUGCUACAAUGGCCGGUACAAAGGGCUGCGAUACCGUAAGGUGGAGCGAAUCCCAAAAAGCCGGUCUCAGUUCGGAUUGAGGUCUGCAACUCGACCUCAUGAAGUCGGAGUCGCUAGUAAUCGCAGAUCAGCAACGCUGCGGUGAAUACGUUCCCGGGCCUUGUACACACCGCCCGUCAAGUCAUGAAAGUCGGUAACACCCGAAGCCAGUGGCCUAACCCUUG